rnacentral:tRNA from 1 species
GGGGCUAUAGCUCACUGGGAGAGCACUUGCCUUGCAUGCAUGAGGCAUUGGGUUCGAUCUCAGUACCACA